rnacentral:lncRNA from 1 species
GGGAAAAGACGAUAAAACAGGAGGCUGAUUUUUCCCCCAGAACCCUAGCUGCAUACAAUCUAUUUUUGGUACACAGAGGAUCAUGUGAAGCUAGAAUGAAACUUUAGAAAGAGCCUUUUAUUAGGGCCUUUUAUUCCUAAAUGAAAAUUGUGCUGGGCUCGCCUUAGGCGCUCUCCUGCUUUCUUUCAUCAGUUUGAACUGCAGAGGGUCCAUGGAAAAACCGUCGACUGGCGUAUUUCCCUAUAUGAUGUCAAAACUGCAUCUCUUUGGGGUGCUUUUCAGACCAAAGAUUCCUAGAUAAAAAUUACUCCAAAAGUCAGGUUUUCCUAAACCGCAUCCCUAGUUUGAAUAUGUCCGUCUGUCUACCUGGCCGCACCACAUCUGGAUGACACAGCGAUGAUUUAUUUUGGAUCCCGAAGAACUUGAACAAGACAAAUAGUGUUUGAGAAGCCACGUGAACCUGAGGGAGCUGCCAAGGACAAGGGGAAGAGUGAUAGGGGCUGCAUUUCAUAUUGGAACCCCACAGCACGGGAGGAGCGAUAAACUUUAUUUGCCGCACAAAUAGAAAAAGGGAACAGCUUGCCUAUCAGGCACAUCAGGUGUUAGGAUUUGACGCAGAACUCCCGAAUAAUGUGUUGUUUGCCUUUUGGAGAAAUGAAGAGGAAGGAAGUGUCUUUCUGCAACUGCACACGAGAUAGUGGCGAGAGAUGGGAGAUGGGGAAAUUGUCAUUUCCUAGGCUGCUUCCGAAAGAUUCCAUGGGGCAGGGGGCAAGGGUUAUGAAGAGGUCACAAAAGGACUGGGACACCUCAAGCUGGCCCCAGAAAAGAGCACUUGGCAGGAUGCUUUGUCAUGGCCUCAAUUUCAAAACUGUGUGCCAGAGGGAGAGGUGAAUUUGCGGUAGCAGAGAGUCGUGGAAAGAAUGCAGGCCUUGGAAUAAUCCAUCUCCUCCACAGACGUUUACUGAGCCUCUGCUGGUGGCUGAGAUCCCUGGGGGACAGAAUUAAAAGGAAUUCUGCUCAAAUCUGGCUCUGGCACGUUCUCGUUAUGGAGAGGGGCGCAGAGAACUGCAGUUCUCUGCAAUCGGGUGGUAGCCUCUGAAAACGGGAUCGCUAGUCCUACUCCAUCACAUUGUCGUGAAGAUCAAACGACUUAAUUUACGGACGGUGAAUCACUUAAAUCUCUAAGCUCAUCUAUAAAGUGACGAUAAGGGAGUUCCCGUCGUGGCACAGCGGAAACGAAUCCAACAAGGAACCAUGAGGUUGCGGGUUCGAUCCUUGGCCUCGCUCGGUGGGUGAAGGGUCCGGCAUUGCCGUGAGCUGUGGUGUAGGUCACAGACACAGCUCAGAUCCCGCAUUGCUGAUUAUUUAUUUAUCCGCAUGGCAGAUUAUUUAUUCAUUUAUUUAUUUAUUUAUCUGGCGGAGACCGGCAGCUAUAGUUCUAAUUAGACCCCUAGCCUAGGAACCUCCGUAUUCUGCGGGUGCAGCCCUAAAAAGACAAAAGACAAAAUAAAUAAAUAAAUAAGAAAAAAAUAAUAAAAUGAAGAUAAAAAUACCUAAUUCCUAGGGCUGCUGUGAAAUUUGGAAGGGGGAACACAGCGCCUGGUUAUGGGCCAAUUCCCCCGAAUAGUAGCCUUGACAUUUUUAGGAUCCAUUAUGUUGGCUCCAGUGAAUAAAAUUUGAGAACAAAUUUCACGGGCAUCUCUGGGAGGCUAAAUGGGAACUUGGUAAUUUGGGGAAGGUUCUCUAGACCUUCAAAUGAAACUUUUAUCAAGCAGAAAAUUCCAGAAGAGUGGAGGUACAUGAUGGUCUCAUUCCAUCUACCUUCCUAUCAAAGGAGGGAGUGUUUUAAGCGAGGCAUGGACUGGCUCCUCUUCCAGACUUGGGUCGACAGGGAGCUAGAUCCCGCUCGCUGUGUGACCUUGGGGAACUUACCUUCCACUAGUAGCUAAACUGAGAUUUGUCCAUAUCUAAGAACAUGGCAGAUUAUUUAUUUAUUUAUUUAUUGGCUUACACAACAAAAAUUUACUUUAUCACAGUUCCGGAGGCUGGAAGUUUGAGACGAAGGUAUCAGCAGGACUGGUUCCUUCAGAGGCCUCUGCUCGAUGUGUGGAUAAAUGGCCAUCUUCCCCCUGUAUCCUCACACGCUCUUCCCUCUGUGUGUGUCAUUCUGAAGGUCAGAAGUCCACACCAGUCUCACCGGGCUAAGGUCAGGGAGGGGCAGAGCUCAUUCCUUCUGGAGGUUCUAGGAGAGACUCCAUUUCCCUGCCCUUCCCAGCUUCUGGAGGAUGCUCAUAUUUUGUGGUCCAUGGCUCCUUCCUCCAUCCUCAAAACCAGCAAUGAUGUACAAGUCCUGCUCACAUCGCAUUGCUCCUGGGUUAACGAUCCGGCGUUGCCGUGAGCUGUGGUGUAGGUUGCAGACGCGGCUCGGAUCCCGCGUUGCUGUGGCUCUGGUGUAGGCCGGUGGCUACAGCUCCGAUUCAACUCCUAGCCUGGGAAACUCCAUAUGCCACUGAAGUGGCCCAAAGAAAUAGAAAAAAGACCAAAAAAAAAAAAAAAAAAAGAAAAGAAAAGAAAGUUGCACAAUCAGUGUAAUGGCUACGACAGGAGUGGCUUUGCCAUCAUCGUACACAGAUCUUCUGUCCAGGGCUCAGGGAUCAAGGAUGCUCACAAAGCACAGAAAACGAAAGAGAAACAAUGAGAUAAACACAUGGGAGUUCCCGUCGUGGCGCAGUGGCUAACAAAUCCGACUAGGAACCAUGAGGUGGCGGGUUCGGUCCCUGCCCUUGCUGAGUGGGUUAACGAUCCGGCGUUGCCGUGAGCUGUGGUGUAGGUUGCAGACGCGGCUCGGAUCCCGCGUUGCUGUGGCUCUGGUGUAGGCCGGUGGCUACAGCUCCGAUUCAACUCCUAGCCUGGGAACCUCCAUAUGCUGUGGGAGCGGCCCAAGAAAUAGCUCAAAAAAAAAAAAAAAAAAAAAAAAAAA